UACGGAAGGCAGCAGUGGGGAAUAUUGCACAAUGGGCGCAAGCCUGAUGCAGCCAUGCCGCGUGUAUGAAGAAGGCCUUAGGGUUGUAAAGUACUUUCAUCGGGGAGGAAAAAACAAAACUAAUAAUUUUAUUUCUUGACGUUACCCGAAAAAGAAGCACCGGCUAACUCCGUGCCAGCAGCCGCGGUAAUACGGAGGGUGCGAGCGUUAAUCGGAAUUACUGGGCGUAAAGGGCACGCAGGCGGUUAAUUAAGUUGGAUGUGAAAUCCCCGGGCUUAACCUGGGAAUGGCAUUCAAGACUGGUUAGCUAGAGUCUUGUAGAGGGGGUAGAAUUCCAUGUGUAGCGGUGAAAUGCGUAGAGAUGUGGAGGAAUACCGGUGGCGAAGGCGGCCCCUGGACAAAGACUGACGCUCAUGUGCGAAAGCGUGGGGAGCAAACAGGGAUUAGAUACCCGU
rnacentral:rRNA from 1 species